rnacentral:rRNA from 1 species
GGUUGUUCUGUUCGGUCCGCUUCGAAAGGAGUGUGUACUAGAGCAGGGCGGCCAUCCUCGGAGUAUUGUGUAUCUGGCAUUCAGUUGUCGGGUAUAUGAUCUUCGUCAUUUACUGUGAGUAAACUAGAGUGUUCAAAGCAGGCUUAGGCCGUUGAAUACAUUAGCAUGGAAUAAUAAGAUAGGACCUUGGUCUAUUUUGUUGGUUUAUUUUCCAAGGUA